ACAGCAGUGUCCUCAACUGGGGAGAAGGUGAGUACAGCAAUGUCCUCAACUGGGGAGAAGGAGAGUACAGCAAUGUCCUCAGACAUCAACCUGGGUAGAAGGUGAGUACAGCAAUGUCCUCAACUGGGGAGAAGGAGAGUACAGCAAUGUCCUCAACUGGGGAGAAGGAGAGUACAGCAAUGUCCUCAACUGGGGAGAAGGUGAGUACAGCAAUGUCCUCAACUGGGGAGAAGGAGAGUACAGCAAUGUCCUCAGACAUCAACCUGGGGAGAAGGAGAGUACAGCAAUGUCCUCAACUGGGGAGAAGGAGAGUACAGCAAUGUCCUCAACUGGGGAGAAGGUGAGUACAGCAAUGUCCUCAACUGGGGAGAAGGUGAGUACAGCAAUGUCCUCAGACAUCAACCUGGGGAGAAGGAGAGUACAGCAAUGUCCUCAACUGGGGAGAAGGAGAGUACAGCAAUGUCCUCAGACAUCAACCUGGGUAGAAGGUGAGUACAGCAAUGUCCUCAACUGGGGAGAAGGAGAGUACAGCAAUGUCCUCAACUGGGGAGAAGGAGAGUACAGCAAUGUCCUCAACUGGGGAGAAGGUGAGUACAGCAAUGUCCUCAACUGGGGAGAAGGAGAGUACAGCAAUGUCCUCAGACAUCAACCUGGGUAGAAGGUGAGUACAGCAAUGUCCUCAACUGGGGAGAAGGAGAGUACAGCAGUGUCCUCAGACAUCAACCUGGGUAGAAGGUGAGUACAGCAAUGUCCUCAACUGGGGAGAAGGAGAGUACAGCAAUGUCAUCAACUGGGGAGGAGAGUACAGCAAUGUCCUCAGACAUCAACCUGGGGAGAAGGUGAGUACAGCAAUGUCCUCAACUGGGGAGAAGGUGAGUACAGCAAUGUCCUCAGACAUCAAUCUGGGGAAGAGGGUGAGUACAGCAAUGUCCUCAGACAUCAACCUGGGGAGAAGGUGAGUACAGCAGUGUCCUCAACUGGGGAGAAGGUGAGUACAGCAAUGUCCUCAACUGGGGAGAAGGUGAGUACAGCAAUGUCCUCAGACAUCAAUCUGGGGAAGAGGGUGAGUACAGCAAUGUCCUCAGACAUCAACCUGGGGAGAAGGUGAGUACAGCAGUGUCCUCAACUGGGGAGAAGGUGAGUACAGCAAUGUCCUCAACUGGGGAGAAGGAGAGUACAGCAAUGUCCUCAGACAUCAACCUGGGGAGAAGGUGAAUACAGCAGUGUCCUCAACUGGGCAGAAGGUGAGUACAGCAAUGUCCUCAGACAUCAACCUGGGGAGAAGGUGAGUACAGCAAUGUCCUCAACUGGGGAGAAGGAGAGUACAGCAAUGUCCUCAACUGGGGAGAAGGAGAGUACAGCAAUGUCCUCAACCUGGGGAGAAGGUGAGUACAGCAAUGUCCUCAACUGGGGAGAAGGUGAGUACAGCAAUGUCCUCAGACAUCAACCAGGGGAAGAGGGUGAGUACAGCAGUGUUCUUAGAUAGGAGUGGUAUUACUUAAUGUUACAGGAGUGGUAUGACUUAAUGUGUCUGUAUGUUACAGGAGUGGUAUGAUUUGAUGUGUCUGUAUGUUACAGGGGUGGUAUGACUUGAUGUUUCUGUAUGUUACAGGAGUGGUAGGACUUGAUUUGUCUGUAUUUUUCAGGAGUGGUAUGACUUGAUGUGUCUGUAUUUUUCAGGAGUGGUAUGACUUGAUGUGUCUGUAUGUUUCAGGAGUGGUAUGACUUGAUGUGUCUGUAUGUUACAGGAGUGGUAUGACUUGAUUUGUCUGUAUGUUACAGGAGUGGUAUGACUUGAUUUGUCUGUAUGUUACAGGAGUGGUAUGACUUGAUGUGUCUGUAUGUUAUAGGAGCGGUAUGACUUGAUGUGUCUGUAUGUUACAGGAGUGGUAUGACUUGAUGUGUCUGUAUGUUACAGGAGUGGUAUGACUUGAUGUGUCUGUAUGUUACAGGA
rnacentral:lncRNA from 1 species